GCAGUAGCCGCGGGAAUGCGUAGGUGGCAAGCGUUGUCCGGAAUUAUUGGGCGUAAAGGGCUCGCAGGCGGUUUCUUAAGUCUGAUGUGAAAGCCCCCGGCUCAACCGGGGAGGGUCAUUGGAAACUGGGAAACUUGAGUGCAGAAGAGGAGAGUGGAAUUCCACGUGUAGCGGUGAAAUGCGUAGAGAUGUGGAGGAACACCAGUGGCGAAGGCGACUCUCUGGUCUGUAACUGACGCUGAGGAGCGAAAGCGUGGGGAGCGAACAGGAUUAGAUACCCGCGUAGUCCCUGUCUCUUAUAA
rnacentral:rRNA from 1 species